UACGAAGGGGGCUAGCGUUGCUCGGAAUCACUGGGCGUAAAGGGUGCGUAGGCGGGUCUUUUAAGUCAGGGGUGAAAUCCUGGAGCUCAACUCCAGAACUGCCUUUGAUACUGAAGAUCUUGAGUUCGGGAGAGGUGAGUGGAACUGCGAGUGUAGAGGUGAAAUUCGUAGAUAUUCGCAAGGACACCAGUGGCGAAGGCGGCUCACUGGCCCGGUACUGACGCUGAGGUGCGAAAGCGUGGGGAGCAAACAGG
rnacentral:rRNA from 1 species